UACAGAGGUCUCAAGCGUUGUUCGGAUUCAUUGGGCGUAAAGGGUGCGUAGGCGGCGCGGUAAGUCGGGUGUGAAAUCUCGGAGCUUAACUCCGAAACUGCAUUCGAUACUGCCGUGCUUGAGGACUGGAGAGGAGACUGGAAUUUACGGUGUAGCGGUGAAAUGCGUAGAUAUCAGGAGGAACACCAACGGCGAAGGCAGCUCGCUGGGACGGUACUGACGCUAAGGCGCGAAAGCGUGGGGAGCGAACGAGGA
rnacentral:rRNA from 1 species